rnacentral:rRNA from 1 species
AGCGAACGCUGGCGGCAGGCCUAACACAUGCAAGUCGAACGAACUCUUCGUAGUUAGUUGCGGUCGCGUGUGUCACACGUGGGAACGUGCCUUUAUGUUCCGAAUUACUCAUGUUCACUUGUGCUAAUACCGAAUGUGCUCUUCGGGGAAAAGAUUUAUCGCCUUUAGAGCGGCCGGCGACCGUUUAGCUUGUUGGUGUGGUAAAGGCUGAUCACGGCGUCGCUCAGUAGCUGGUCUGAGAGGAUCAUCAGCCACAUUGGGACUGUGACGCGGCCCAAACUCCUACGCGAGGCAGCAGUGGGGAAUCUUGCGCAACGGGCGAAGGCCUGACGCAGCCAGGCUGCGUGAAUCAUGAUGGUCGGAGGAUAGUAAAAUUCUUUAACCGGGGACGAUAAUGACGGUACCCGAAGAAGAAGCCCCGGCUAACUUCGUG